rnacentral:lncRNA from 1 species
GAGGGCUGUGAGAAGGAUCAUGGACAUGACCAGAGCUAUUUGAGGCUUUGCAUUUCACUUUUGACUGGAGAUUUAUGAUGAGCACACUGCUAUGAAUUUCAGCAUCAGUGCAGUGAAAGUAUACCAAAACAACAACAGCUUAUUGGCUAGAAGCCCAAUUCUCUGGUCACAUCUACAAACAGGAUUCAUGAACAGCCCUCCAACGAGCACAGGAUCAGAGACAGGAAAAGCAGCAGUUCCUGUGGCCGCCACGUUGCCAGCCAGAUGGGCUUACAUACAGUUAUCUGUGCAAGCACAUGGAUUUACCACAGGUAAACUAACCAAAGCAGCUCAACCUGCGAGGCCAUACUUGUGACUGAGAAGAAAAUGCUUUCUUUUAUUCCAGUCUGAAGGAGAAAGCAGAAGGACCUAUUCUCUGAUUUGACUACUGCUGUGCAGGAGAGCAGGUCUCAUUGAGAAGCAUCCAUACAGCCUACCCUACAAGAGCGAGCUGGGAGGCUGGUCUCCCCAGGUGACAGAGCAGAUGCUCUCCAUCACCCCAGGACCAGCUCCUCUGUUUCUCCCACCAGCUCUAGAGGUGACAUAGGAGCAAGGCCUCUUCCCUUAGAAAAAGGUUGGCUGCAACCACCACCUUUUGUCUUCCAUGCGUUCCUGGAUUAUCCCACCUGGGUACAGCAAAACACCGCUCUUGAGCAAGAUCCUGUUGCACAACUUCAGAGAAGAAGGGGUUGGCCACCACAAACUCAACAUUUCCACCCCAGACAAGUGCUGAGGGAGUCCCUUCCUCUACCAGCCAUGGGACCUGGCAGCACAAAAGAGUUGAAGCAGCCCCAGCACUGAGGUAAUUUCAAACACUGAGCAAGAGACAAGGCCACUUUUAUGAAUUGUUAGAAGCCUGGCAUGGGUGGAAGUUUGUAAAUUUUGCCUGUCCUGACUGCUGAGCACAGUGAGGCAAUAGAUCUCCUCACAAGGUCAGGCACACUCCCACAGAGCAGGCCUGGCACCAGCACCAUUCAGUGUGUACCUGCGCAGGCCAGAUACUUGUGUUGUAUGGCCCACAGCCACAAGGACAUGAGGCCCACUGACUGCAGGCCAUAGUCUGAGAUCCCAGCUCACAAUUAGGAUCUGUUUUCAGAUGACAUUCAAGGUGUUUGUGGCAGUUUUCUCAUGUCUCUUGAAGACAAAAGCUUUUUCCCCAAGAGAUCUGCU